GGAAUAUUGGACAAUGGGGGCAACCCUGAUCCAGCCAUGCCGCGUGAAGGACUGAGGCCCUACGGGUCGUAAACUUCUUUUGUUGCGGAGCAAUAAGGGUCACGCGUGGCCCGAUGAGAGUACGCAGCGAAUAAGCAUCGGCUAACUCCGUGCCAGCAGCCGCGGUAAUACGGAGGAUGCGAGCGUUAUCCGGAUUUAUUGGGUUUAAAGGGUGCGUAGGCGGCCUGUCAAGUCAGCGGUGAAAUCCCCGUGCUCAACAUGGGAACUGCCGUUGAUACUGCCGGGCUGGAGUACUGUUGCCGUGGGAGGAAUGUGUGGUGUAGCGGUGAAAUGCUUAGAUAUCACACAGAACACCGAUUGCGAAGGCAUCUCACGAAGCCGUGUACUGACGCUGAGGCACGAAAGCGUGGGGAUCAAACA
rnacentral:rRNA from 1 species